UUGGUAUCCCCAGUUGCGUGUUCCUUGAAGAGCCCGGACUAUACUUUCCACAGGCUUCUUUUUAAGGAAACAGUGUGGAAGACCGAUUUCAGAGAACGGUAACAAAAAAUUUUCAUCAGAUGAAGGGAAGAGGAAAUGCAUUUUCCUGGCUGCAUGACUACAGUUCCUCCACCAAGGAUCAAACCCGCGCCCCCUGCACUGGAAGUGUGGAGUCGUAACCACUGGACCUCAAGGGAAGUAUUAAUCAACCACUUUUUAAUGAAAAAGUAACACACGCACAACUUAAAAUAAUUUAAAAGAACAAAAG